UCCAUUGUGUAAUCUUAACAGGACGAUAGUUGUAUUUUUAGUCAGUUGUUGACUAUAUGUUAGAAACCCUGAAUUGUACACUUAAAAUGGGUGAACUGCGUGUUACAUGAAUUGUAUCUCCAUAAAGCUGUCAAAAAAGAGGUCUGAGAAUCCCAUAAAAUGUUUCAUUUGUUGGGGGAAUGGCUUUUAAAAUAUAUUUUAAGAUAAUUCAGAUAGUAUCCUAUGUUUCACUUAAAUCAGUAAUGACUUAUUUAUGACUUUGCUUAUUACCUGAUUAUCUGUCCUGAGAUAUUUUACUGGAGUCUGACACAAUUUCAAUUUGGAAUAUAUGUCUUAGUUGAGGAUUGGGCCUAACAUUGACUCCCUGCAGCUCCCGCUAAGCUGACAGCCUGGCUGGCUACCUGGGCCCACCUCGUGCAGUUCCCUGGUCUUUACAGACUCUUGUUUUACCUUGAGUCUUCUGGCUGAAAGCUUUUUCCCUCUGAAAUCCACGAAAUUAGAUCUUCAUUCAAAAGUCUUAAAGAAAAUAAUUGAGUUAUUUGUCAAUUUGGAAGCUAGUCUUUCAUUUAAAUAAUGAAUAGAUUUUCCUUCUAAGAAAACUACAGGGCAGAAAUAUCCAGAGCUGCUCUUCAUGUUGCUCAGGACAUGGAACUGUGGGACCGUAAGGAUUCAGAAGGAUCUGUGCAACAGUUGAGGUGAAGGGUAAGGACAUCACCAGGUAGUGGAAAGCUAAGACUAAGCCUCCUGACUCAUGGUUGCUGCCAUGUCCUACACUUCCUGCUAUCCACGCACGCUGAAAAGAGCAAGACACUCCAAAACACGCAUCUCCCCUGUCUCCCCAAAUCCAAAUCCAAUGAUCUAUCUCUAAAACCAAGUUGUAAUUGUUUCUGAAACACAAAGUAGGGGCAGUCCCAUCCCAUUACCAGAGGAAAGGUGACCCUCUCAGCAGGAAGCUGGCUGAUCCGGGAGGUGGAUGGAGCCCAGAUCACUCCUUGGGGACCAGCACAUAAGCUCUGCUGUCACAGGCGACAGAACCUAAAAAGCACUUCUCUCCCUAACAUACCCUAAUUGCUGCUUCCCACUAGCCUCCGGCACUCACUCCAUGCCAAGCUCUGGCUCCUAUCCAGCUGCUCUUCAAGCUAAGAGCCAAAUCCCAUACUCACUUGUCCUAGGAACUGGUCCAGAAUGACCUUAGUAGGAAGCUAAGAGGAGCUCUAUAUCAAGGCCUGGGAAGGCUGGCUGCCCAGACUCUGGCUGCCUGGGUGGGCGGUCUGGACCCGUCUCUGCAGAGACCUGCCCCAGCUCAGGAGGAACAAUUAAGGAAAAGGCAAAGUUAGUAGUGGUGCUGAGGUGCUGCUGGGGGCAGGUCUGUUUGCUCUGGCCAACCUCUCUUUCUUUCUGGGACUGGGAGGAGGAAUUUGAUGCCACCAGUAUCUGAGGGACAUGUACCUCAUUCAUCAGGAACAAACUCCUGGGACUUGGGAACCACACAAGGUCUCCUAAGGCCCGAGACUGUCUGCAUGCCAGCAGUUGAGGCUGGAACUUAGACAGCGUGAGCACGUGCAGAGUCUUCUUAACUCCUGGGCUCAAGCCAUCCUCCUGCCUCAGCCUCCUAAGUAGCUGGGACUGCCAGAAAACACGAAGCUCUCCCCAGAUGGUGAAAUUCCAAGCUCAUGGUGAUAAACAGCAGGAAGAACUUCACCAAGCUGGGGUGAGUGAUGAAAAGGGGUUUGCCGUAAGGGGUGAGGUGGUCUGCACGAUGAAAUAUCCAUGACAAUGAUAAAACACCUUCUGGAGAAGCCAUUGCCUCUGCUUCAGUUCUCGGUUGUCCCUAAGCAGUUGUGGGGACAAGACUAUUAAGGGAUCUUAAGUAGUACUUUGAAAUGAGAACUUAACACAGUUGUGGUUUCCAGAAAGACUAAGUUGUUGCCUGUCCAGUGGAGUCAAACUAAAGAACAUUUUCCUUCCCUUGUAUAAAAGUGUUGUUUGUAUACUCCUGGAAUAUUUUUUUUUCACUAUGUUACCCUUAGUAGAGUGCCGUAGCAUCACAGCUCACAGCAACCUCAAACUCUUGGGCUUAAGUGAUUCUCUUGCCUCAGCCUCCUAAGUAACUGGGGACUAAGAUAUAAGCCACAAUGCCCGGCGAUUUUUUUGUUGCAGUUGUCAUUGUUGUUUAGCAUGCCUGGGCUGAGUUGAAACCCACCAGCCCCAGUGUACGUGGCCCUAACCACUGAGCUCGGACGCUGAGCCUACUCCUGGAACAUUAAAGAAUACAAAGCUGGGAGAGGUGAUAAGAAGUGAAAUCAGCAAGGGAUGGUGGACGCCUUGGAGUUAGGGACAAGCAAAAAAACCUAUCCUCCCCCUGACCCUGGGAAAAGAACAAAGCUUAGAAGCUCAUGAAAAUUGCCUUUUGGGUCCAAUUUCUUUCAUACUUAAAUGAGAUGGCAUUUUUGAGGCUUAAGAAAUGUAUUUAGGGAUACUUUAACAGGCAUCCGUGGCAAAAGUUAGAUGACCUGGCCAGGCACGGUGGCUUAUACCUAUAAUCCUAGCAUUCUGGGAGGUGGGAGUAUCCCUUGAGCUCAGCAGUUCCAGACCAGCCUAAACAAGAGCAAAACUCCAUCUUUACUAAAAAUAGAAAAACUAACAGAGCAUUGUGGUGGACACCUGUAGUCCCAGCUACUCAGGAGGCUGAGGCAAGAAGAUUGCUUGAGCCCAGCAGUUUGAGAUUGCUGUGAGUUAUGGUGCCAGAGGCAGCAGAGUGAGACUCUGUCUCAAAAAAAAAAAGUUAGAUGACCUAGGAGUGUUCUGGAAUGGAUUUUUCUGGCUCAGGUUAACCGGUAGCACACCCUUGGGGACUUCUUGGGUCUGCUCCCUUCCCGACCCUCCAAAGAAGCCACGUGCCUCAGAGACAGACCCCUGAGCUCAUCCCUACUUCUGGGAAGACCUGAAGUCCCCCAAAUUUCUACCAACUGAACAGGAAGCAAACAGCUUGUGGGUCCCAUGGGUGUACUAGUGGGGUGCACAAAAUGGGAAUAUCAGAACUUCUCUUUCUGUUUCCUUUUUUAUUUGUCUGUAAUGAGAUUAAAGUAAGCUUUAUUUUUAUUUACUACACAGACUGACCUUGCACCCCUCUGUUGUGUGGCAUUCUGAGGAGGAGGGAGAGGUUCCCUUCACGGGGAGGAAGGAGCGUUUAGUGUACCCUUCCCUGGUUUGUUUCCUUUGGCAGUUUUGAUUUAUCUCAGUAUAUAUUUACACCUACAUGGCUAAACAGACUCACUGAUUCUAUUAUGAAGUUUCACCUACACUAACCCUUGCAAAAUGGACCACCAAUUUGAAAGUUUCCUGCCAAGAAACAAAACCGGAGAACUGAAGACAAUACAGUUAAUCACACAAGCACAAAUGAACAACCAGAAAAAGGCAGAGUGGACGAUUUUCUCGUGCCAAGAGCUUUUCUGCAGCCAAACUCUUAAGGUAAAAGUAAUGAUCUAAUUAGAUCUGACA